AAAUUUAAUUUUAUUUUAAAUCUUGUAUUUUUAAAAUUUAUUUACAUAUAAUAUAAUGUAAUUAUUAAAUUUAAUUAUUUAUAAAACUAUCAUAAUUGUUUUCUAAUAAAAUAAGCAUCACACAUGAACAUUUCUGUAAGGGAAAUUUACUGUACACAGUCCCGCACCUUUCUCAGAAUUUCUUUCGGCGUCUCAUUACUUGAAAUCCGUUCAGUAGAAGCCACCAGGGGGCGCCUGAGCGCUGUCCUCCACCUGCGUCCUGUGUAAGGAGCGCUGGCCGCAGGUGAGACUGGAAAACAGACGUCUCCAGGAGUGCGCGUUCUCAGGAGAAAGAUAAACUUCAACAAAGAGGGACUGAGACAGUGGGGAUGAGCCAUUCACUUCUGUGAACAAGAGACUGUGACUCUCACACCUUCUACCCCGGCAGUCCCUUCUCCACAUCCCAGUCGGUGACUCCCCUGCACCUGUGCAGAGCGACGCCACGACAGGCACCGACGCAGCGGCUGCCGGCUACCGGUCUAUGUCCUGCUGUGGCAAUCUCCUUCAGUCACGAGGAGGAGUUGUCUUUAAAAUCGCGUCCUCAGGAGGAACAGAAAUGACCAGGACCCACGGCUCCAUCCCGGUCUCCACUGCAGCCGCCAGGGCCCUUCGUCCUCCCUGCCCGCGCCUGUGCGACGUCAGAAGAGUAAGAGGAAAGGGUUGGCCCGGCGAGCACCUACCACAAGUCCAGCGCGGCGGUGUGGGGCUCUAAUUCCCCUGAAUCCUGAUUAAAUGUCAGCUCCGCAUUCUAAAGGACAGGGACGAAGGACGAGACGUGCGGGCAUUUGAGCAAACUGUUUACUUUAGAAAGUGUUUCUGGUCCUGACGCCAUCCCGCGGCUGAGGACACUCGGCCCGCGAGGUCCGCGUGAAAAUGGCUGCCGUAGGCCCAUGAGGAGCCGCCCUGUCAGGUGCCGCCUUCUUGGAGGAAGUUCGUCACUGUGGCCUCGAGAUUCAGGAGCUCAAGCCGGGCCUAGUUGCUCCGUUUCUCUUCUUGACGCCUGUCAGUCCAGAUGGAGAAAUCCCGGCCGCCUCUCCACACCAUGUCUGCCUGCGAGCCGCUGCGCUUCCCCGUGAUGAUAAUGGACUAAACCUGUGAACUACAGAGCAUCAAUCCCCCUGCCUCAGCUUCUUGAUUGCUGUUCUUAUAGCUAUGCAGCAUCGCACCUGGACAGACUCACAGACUUCACUCUGGAAACCUCAAGGUUUCUGAACAAUCGGCAAAUGGGUUGAGGACCUCUCCUAGGAAAGACAGAACAAAUCGUGGCGCUCCCGGGCUCGGAACGAAUUACAGAGAGAAAUCCCGAGAGUUUGCUGUGGCGUUCAAGGCCCUUGGAGUCAUCUGGAACGGGCUUUUCUGCUUCCUGUUGAUGUUUUCCACCUACACGGGGCUGCCUCCCCUGUCUGCCCAGUGCCCACAAGGAGCCCUCAGGCCCUGACAUUCCUCACUGGCUCAAUCCUUCUUUCUCCAUCAGGACUCUCUCUCCUCUCAGCCCCACGACGUCCUCUCCCAUCCUCUCUGGCAUCCAGUAAUUGCCCAUGCACUGGCCUCUCCUUUCCAACUCCGGUUCAGUCCUGCUACGGGUUGGCCUGACGCUGUUCACAUUCUGAUGUUAAUUCUGCUUCCUCCCAGGGCUGCCCCAGGCGAGCACAGUCCUACUCGGUGAAAGGCGAGCCUUCUCCCCAUUUCAACUGGACAAUAAAGGCCGGAGUCUGUGAUUGGGCAGUGGAGGGGAAAGGCGGGGUGGGAGGUCUUAGAGGGUGGGGCAGGUGAGCAGAGAGGAGGACGGAAGGGAAGGAGAGGGGACGCAGGAGGAGGAAGCAGGAUGGACCAGAACCCUGUGGCCAGGAGAAACCGCAAGUAGGCAGGGGGUCCUGUAGCUGGGGAAUAAGGUAAUGUCGUGUUGUAUCUGCCCAUUCUAGGCAGAGAGCUUAUGAUUCUAACAGCUGGGUUGUGUGGUUUUUAAGGGGUUGGAAAUUCCAGCUACGCUGCCCGUCUUAAAUUCUGGAUGUUCUUUCUUCUACCUUCUUCAAACGUUGCUAUUUCUUCCUAAAGGUCAAUGCCCCCCACCCCCGCUUCCAUUCCCCCUUGUUGCUUUGUAAGUCAUAGAUGUUUACAACAUUUUUGCUAGAUCUGGAAAGUCACCAAGUGUUAGAAUUGAGAGAACCAGGCCCCAACUCAGGCCACAGAGCCUUGUAAGAAUGAGAAGUUAAAAUUACCAAAAUAGACUGCUGGAAUGAG